GACCGCAUCACGUUCAAACACCGGUUUCUGUACAAUCACCGAAGUUAAGCAACGUCGAGCCUGAUCAGUACCGAGAUGGGUGACCUCUUGGGCGUAUCAGGUGCU